rnacentral:rRNA from 1 species
GAUGAACGCUGGCGGCGUGCCUAAUACAUGCAAGUCGAACGCUUCACUUCGGUGAAGAGUGGCGAACGGGUGAGUAAUACCUAAGUAACCUGGCAUCUACAGGGGGAUAACUGAUGGAAACGUCAGCUAAGACCGCAUAGGUGUAGAGAUCGCAUGAACUCUAUAUGAAAAGUGCUACGGGACUGGUAGAUGAUGGACUUAUGGCGCAUUAGCUUGUUGGUAGGGUAACGGCCUACCAAGGCGACGAUGCGUAGCCGACCUGAGAGGGUGACCGGCCACACUGGGACUGAGACACGGCCCAGACUCCUACGGGAGGCAGCAGUAGGGAAUUUUCGGCAAUGGGGGAAACCCUGACCGAGCAACGCCGCGUGAAGGAAGAAGUAAUUCGGUAUGUAAACUUCUGUCAUAGAGGAAGAACGGUGGAUAUAGGGAAUGAUAUCCAAGUGACGGUACUCUAUAAGAAAGCCACGGCUAACUACGUG